ACGCUGGCGGCAUGCUUACACAUGCAAGUCGGACGGCAGCACAGAGAAGCUUGCUUCUUGGGUGGCGAGUGGCGAACGGGUGAGUAAUAUAUCGGAACGUACCGAGCAGUGGGGGAUAACUAAUCGAAAGAUUAGCUAAUACCGCAUAUUUUCUGAGGAAGAAAGCAGGGGACCAUUUGGCCUUGCGCUGUUUGAGCGGCCGAUAUCUGAUUAGCUGGUUGGUGGGGUAAAGGCCUACCAAGGCGACGAUCAGUAGCGGGUCUGAGAGGAUGAUCCGCCACACUGGGACUGAGACACGGCCCAGACUCCUACGGGAGGCAGCAGUGGGGAAUUUUGGACAAUGGGCGCAAGCCUGAUCCAGCCAUGCCGCGUGUCUGAAGAAGGCCUUCGGGUUGUAAAGGACUUUUGUCAGGGAAGAAAAGGAUAGGGUUAAUACCCCUGUCUGAUGACGGUACCUGAAGAAUAAGCACCGGCUAACUACGUGCCAGCAGCCGCGGUAAUACGUAGGGUGCGAGCGUUAAUCGGAAUUACUGGGCGUAAAGCGGGCGCAGACGGUUACUUAAGCAGGAUGUGAAAUCCCCGGGCUCAACCUGGGAACUGCGUUCUGAACUGGGUGACUAGAGUGUGUCAGAGGGAGGUAGAAUUCCACGUGUAGCAGUGAAAUGCGUAGAGAUGUGGAGGAAUACCGAUGGCGAAGGCAGCCUCCUGGGAUAACACUGACGUUCAUGCCCGAAAGCGUGGGUAGCAAACAGGAUUAGAUACCCUGGUAGUCCACGCCCUAAACGAUGUCGAUUAGCUGUUGGGCAGCAUGACUGCUUAGUAGCGAAGCUAACGC
rnacentral:rRNA from 1 species